rnacentral:lncRNA from 1 species
ACUCUGUUCACAUAUUUUCUCAAAUAUUAGGCGUUUUAUUUAUAAAAUGACAUUAGUGUAUCUCUAGUAUUCACGAUUUGAUCUUAUUUGAUGGUAAAAUGGCACCGAAGAGAAAAGCUCGGUUGGCAACAGAAAGAGGGAAAGGAAAGGUACCUACAUUGACGAAGCUGUAAUUCAUCGAUUCUUGACUACGGAGAACCAAAAGCUCUUUAACAACACGAUCACGCAAUGGAAGUGGUGGCCCAAACAGAUAGUGAUUCUAACAGACUUCAUGAAUUUGGAGAUGACUAAUGUCAUUGAAGCCUUCGGUAGGAAGAAUGUUGCCAAGAUGUCACAUCCAGUUUACCUAUUACUAGUGAAGGAACUUUUGGAAAAUGUUAAAGCCGAGCUUGACAGUCCAACUCUUUUCAUUACCAUUAGACUUGGGUCGGAGACAAGGGGGUUAUGUUUAGUCCCGAGGAGAUAGCUCAUUGUUAGGGGUGGGAAGAACAUUAUACACCUCCCGAGUGAUCAUCACAUGAUCGAGGUCAAACAUUAUUUGAAUGGUCAGGACAAGGCGUGUCCACUCAACUACUAAGGAAUUUGAGCACAACCAGUUCAUAGAUGUGCUGGUUAUUCUUCACAUGUUCAUGUGCUACAACAUUGAUCAUACUUUGCACUUGACGAAAUAAAUGAAGUGAAGGCUCGAUUGUCAUAUUAUUUGGCACACGGAGAUAAGAUUGAUUUGGGAUGCAAAAUCUACACUCUUUUCACUACUUUAGUUGUGUUGGAAAAUACAAGUUGCUGGUCCCGACCUACAAGUUAUUAAAAUGGAUUGGAGGAAUGGUUUGAAUAAAAUUCAAAUUCAUA